CAUUGCGAUCGUAAUUACGUUUUUGUACGUUGAAGUUUUGUUGGCGGAAAGCCGUUAUAUAUUCAUUUUCGUGCACUUGGAUAAAAUAAUUUCCUCAAAUAAGUCAAAAGUAACAACGGCAGAGCAAUACGAAAAAUUGUGUGAUAUGAUGGCCAUGAAAAGAGAUAUUGCGCAGGGCUUCCAAAAGCGACCGAAGGAAGAAGUACAGGAGUUUUGGGAGGAGGUUGCAAGGAAUUUAAAUGCACUUGGCCCACCAAGAAAAGAUUCCAAUACAUGGAGAAAGGUCUGGAUUGACUGAAAAUGCUACAUGAAGCGAAAAUUAUCGCAUAAUAAAAAACAAAGGAUGAGCAUCGGUGGAGGUCCUUGCCGUUUACAACGCAUAAGCCCACUUGAUGAAAAGGUGAUAGCUUUGACGGGUUUGGAAACAUGCACAAGUGGAAUAAGUGGGGCCCGCGAUUAUGGCGAUAGUGUGGAGGUAGAAGAUGCUGCCCAAACCACUGAAAAGGACAUUUCCGCUCGUUCGGAUAAUAUCCCUUCAACCAGUAGAGCUAGCAGCCAAAAUAGAGAGGCGAGAGCAGACAAGCAGAGCACUUCUUUAUUACUUAAGCAACAGAUACAAAUCAAAAAGAAUUUUAUGCAGAGACGAAAAAAUUCAAUGAAGCUGCCUUUGGUAAAAUGGAAGAAGUUACUACAUAUUUAGGGCACAUGAAUCGUUCUCUAGAAACUUUGGCGGAGACUGCAGUGAAGCAACUUGAAGAACAGAAGCGAUACAAUAGAAUUAAGGAAGAGCUGGUGAAGGAAAAAGUAGAAAUAAAAAUGCAAAUGCAAAGAUUAGAUCCAAAUUAUAAGCCGGAUUCAAAGUAGUAAUUUUUUAAUUGUUAGCCUUUUAUUUAUAUAACGAGCUGUGAAAUGAAAUAAAAGCAUUUACUUUUUUAAUAUAGGAGCUGUAAAAUGCACUGAA